GGAUGUGAGUGCAACCUGGUUGCAACAUUUAUCACUCCACUGGUUACAGGGUUGGCCCAGCUGAUGUGGCUGGCUAAGCAGGUGUCCCCUUCCUUCCUCGAUGCUCUGCGUAUCCCUCCUGAAGCUCCACCUGUGGCUGACUGAAGAGGAUGCCUUUCUCGACAGAGGACCAUUCUUUGGUCUGGGAUAUAUGAGGAGCUGGGCUCUCCUGCUAGAACCUCCAAGUAGUCCUAAGAGGAAACAGUAUGGCCUGCAUCUGUGGGUGGCUGGAACAAACUGCUGGGGCCUAGGAGGGUAGUCCCCUCCCCCA
rnacentral:snRNA from 1 species